rnacentral:rRNA from 1 species
GACGUAGGGCGCGAGCGUUGUCCGGAAUUAUUGGGCGUAAAGGGCUCGUAGGCGGUUUGUCGCGUCGGGAGUGAAAACCUCGGGCUUAACUCGGGGCUUGCUUUCGAUACGGGCAGACUAGAGGUAUGCAGGGGAGAACGGAAUUCCUGGUGUAGCGGUGAAAUGCGCAGAUAUCAGGAGGAACACCGGUGGCGAAGGCGGUUCUCUGGGCAUGAUCUGACGCUGAGGAGCGAAAGUGUGGGGAGCGAACAGG